AGUUAUGAGUAGAGUAACAUUACAUGAUAUGGUUUCAACAGAUGAUAUGCAGUGAAGCAGGAUUUUCAGUAGUUAUUUAGAAGUACUAGUAAUUCUCAUGUAGAUGAAACGCUCAGUUAGUAUAGGCCAAUGAAGUUAGCCAACCACUGCAAACUACAGCCAGAGAGCUGAAACACCUGUUAUACUCAAAUAAAUGUAACAUGGAAGACACCAUAAACAUAGGGAGGGGUUACUGCAGGGCUGUUUUGCUCGUAUUUAUGGGACUGUUAAUAUUCACUUUUUUUCUGUUUAUUGUUCAAUGAAGUGCACUGACUAUAAGAAAUUACUGUCUACAGGAAGCAUGCUGCUUAAAGCAAAACUCGGAGGUGUGCAGAAAUUUCUCUCUGAAGCCAAGCCUCAAGGAAUUUUUGAUUGCCGGUAAGAAACCAACAUUGUACAAGGGGCUUCAAGUUCUUUUAGUCACUUAGCUUCCUCAAACUGCUUUUUAAGAUUAAUUGAAAAUGAUCUGCAUUUUGGAAUAAUGUUUAUUAAUUUCUUCUUAGUUAUGAAUGUGUAUUUAAUGGAAAAACAGCAUAAUCUGAGUCACACCGUUUUAAUCUUGUGCCCAUCUAUACACUUAUCAAGCAUCUGUUAGUGGUUCUUCAUUUUGUUUUUAUUUACCUGAGUCACUUUUGAAAAUGUAUCUUGAAAUGAUUUUCAUUUAGCCUAAGUAAAAUCAUUAAAUGUCAUGUAAUCCUUUUGUUUACACACACUUGUUUAAAUCUUUUCCAGCAUUUGCGAAGUUUGGUGUGCCAGCCAUAAUAGAAGGUGUGAAAGUUUUUGACAGUUCAGGGACUGAGUUGGAUGAUGAUGUAUUUGAAGAUAUAGUAACGGAUCCCUCAACUGGGGUACUAACCAUCAAAUAUGACACAAGUUUGGAAACAGCUGCUACAGAAGUGUCUCCUGAGCAGUCGCAGUUAUCAUCGUCACAUUCUUCAGAUUCACAGGACACGGUCAUCGUUUCAGACAGCCCUUCUAGGAAACGCAGGAAGCUGGACGCAGAGGCUAAGCACAUUCCUCAGAUUCACAGGACACGGUCAUCGUUUCACACAGCCCUUCUAGGAAACGCAGGAAGCUGGACGCAGAAGCUAAGCACAUUCCUCAGAUUCACAGGACACGGUCAUCGUUUCAGACAGCCCUUCUAGGAAACGCAGGAAGCUGGACGCAGAGGCUAAGCAAUUGGUGGAAUCCAUUCUCACCAGCAAACCUGCCGGAGAAUGUAUAAUAAAUGAAUCCAUUCGAACCAAGUCCUUGGUGGAUGAAACCAGAAGAAAAAUGGUGAACAUACUGGUAGCUGACAUGACAGAAAAAAAUGGAACAUCACCACCACACCAGGUAAAAGAAAUGUAUGCCAGAGGAAUUGUAACCUUAUUCCCCUACCUCAGUGACCCGUACUCCAAAAAUGGCUAUGAACAUUAUUAUGAUGGCUAGAGUGGCACUGGGUACUUGGCCUGGAGGAUUAAAACCAUACAGAGAUGCAGUACUAAAGACAGGCGAUUAUCAUUUGGAGGAGAUGGAUCAUCGGGUGAAAACCAGUGUGGAGGACCAACUGGAAGACGAGAGUUGCAGUUUGUUACAGAGGAGGUGCUGAGUGAGGAUGAGUGCAAGGAAGCAAUCUCACUGAUGAAACAUUCAGCUGAUGAAGACACAGUCAAGAAGAAGAUGAAGUUGACAGCAGUUUAUCGCCGCAACAUGGUCCUUGACCCCUUGCUGUCAAGCAACAUACUAUCCGAUUUUCCACGUUUUAAAGGCUUGAUUGAACAGGAUUUUGUACUGAUGUUUGGUGAGGAUGUAUCAGGCAGGUUUCUGGAGAGGUGGCCAACAACAUUCAAAGGAAAGAUUAUCCAACAAGGCAGAAAGCUUCCUUCUGCCAGUGACCUGGAAGAACUCUUGCUGGCAGCUGACCCUCCUGAGGAUGCCACUGAAGUUAAUGCUGACAUUGGUUGGGACAGUGACCUCUCAACAAUUUUAUUGCUAUUACAUCUGAUUCCACCAUCUUGACAACGUCGGAAGAGACCAGGAAAGGUGUCAGCUUCCCAAGCGGAAAAGCAUCUUGUGGUCUUCAAAAAGACUGGAACAAAUAUCCAAGAGCAUCUUGAUGCCAUCACUACUAGCACUCAACCCUACCUCUUGGCUGUUGGGGUGAAGAAGAAUGACAUCCACCAGUACUUCAUUAUUCUUGACAAGAACGCCAUACCAUGCAAGUCAACCUCUUCUCUAGGUUCUUUUGAUGAAUUGUUUAAAGCACAUUUUGUGUUUGGUACAUCUUACAACACCAUGCUUCACAACAUGUACACAUUCAUCCAAACCACUGUGUACAACAUAGAUGUUGGCAAAGUCAAAGAAAGUCCCCGAGUUGCUGAAGUAAGGGCAAGGUUGCUACAUUAGUGCUUGAAGUUUGAAUCCCAUUGAAUUCCUCCAUGAAGUGUUUUGUCUGUCAGGCUGAGUUUACUGGUUCAAAAAUGCUUGUUAGGCAUUUACGGUUAGUUCAUGGUUACUUACCUGGAAAAAAUCUUCGCCUUAAAUGUGCCCAGCGUGGCUGUGGCUGUGUGUUUGGUACU